UACAGAGGUCUCAAGCGUUGUUCGGAUUCAUUGGGCGUAAAGGGUGCGUAGGCGGCGCGGUAAGUAGGGUGUGAAAUCCCUCGGCUCAACCGAGGAACUGCGCUCUAAACUACCGUGCUCGAGGGAGAUAGAGGUGAGCGGAACUUAGGGUGGAGCGGUGAAAUGCGUUGAUAUCCUAAGGAACACCGGUGGCGAAAGCGGCUCACUGGAUCUCUUCUGACGCUGAGGCACGAAAGCUAGGGUAGCGAACGGG
rnacentral:rRNA from 1 species